CACCGGCACCGGGAGUUUCGAUUUUCAUUUUUACAUUUUGCGCGUUCUGGUUUCACUGCGUUCAAGUGGGACUUGAUUUCUAAUUAAUAAACUACGAAAGAUCGAAACAAACUGACGACAAAGAUGGAAUACAAAGGAAAGAAACUGAAGCAAAGAUGGAUUUACAACAACACCGACCACAACUUUACCGUCAGGAAGUGGAAAAUCAAACGAAACAUUCUUAGCAGUUGCAACCCCUUCGACUACAGUGAGUAACAUUUCUCUUCUUCCAGGAUUUGAACCAUGGUUGGAUUAUGUUUCUUACUUCCAUGCAUUUUGUAUAAGACACUCGAGAAUCAAUAAAUGAACCGGCAGCCAUGGCAUGAAGACCUUAUAGAUGAAGCCUCAUGCACUAAAUGUAUGUGCUCUGUUCACAAUGCAAGACAAAAAACAAACAUUUUCAAAAAUAAUCAACUUAGCUGCAAAAGCUGAAAAUGCAAAGGUUGCCAAGGUAACGGCUCAAAACCAAGAACAAAUGCUUUUAAUAAAGCAAAGACAAGUAAAGCUACACCGAAGCCAAACAGGAAACCACCUGUAAGGAGGGGACAACCACAAACUAGCUGCAUCAAUACACAAUCACAAGGUGCAUGUAUCAGAUGGGAAACCUGGACACAGACCUAAAGAUUGUCACCACUUGUAUCUACUGUGGAAUUCAAGGACAUCUAGAAAUUGCACGCUUAAGAAAAUCUAAAGACAAAGGAAAUUUUACCAGAAACAAGAAACUGACAGCAACGAUUACAACGAUAGUAAUCUUUCCACCACAACUGUCAACUUCAACAAACAUCAGCUGUAAAUGGAAUCUUGUUCUGAAGUCGCACAGAAGCAGGUGACAAUUUUUUAUUGGAGAAACGAUGGGAAGAAUUGGAAAGACCAACACUACGACCUAUUUAUGGGAGAUAUGGAUCCCAUCAUAAACUUCCAGUACCUGGAAUUUUCUCUGCACAAUGUACUAGAACAAGAAAAGGUGGUAAGGACAAUCCACCAACAGGUAUGAACUUAGUUGUAACAAAAGUACCGGGAUUAAACCUGAUAGGACGUGAGGGUAUUGCACAAUUACAUUUGUCCAUUGACGCAAAGCUAUAAACAUAAGUUUACAAGAAGAACCAAAAUGCCCCAAAUAUUCUGCACUACAGCAAUCCUGUGAAUAACAAUGUAAAAGUUCGAACAAAUAUUUAGGGGCGAGCUAUGACAUUAAAUUUAAGUCGAUUGCUAGCCCCAUUUUUUGGGAAUCACAAGUUAUCGCGUGCCUAUGUUGUGGGUAAAGGGCAACUUAAAUAAUUUAAUGAGUACUGAACAGUGAACACUAGUAGUUUUAGGGCAGGCUGCAUCAAUACGUAUUUGGGGCGAUUACUCAGUCACCGUGAAUGAGCAGUUGGAAAGCCAUCGGCAUUCCACUCCCCGAAAAAUUAAUGCAGAAACUGGGGGGCGGAUAUGGCUUCAACAAAAUAUGUUUAGCGGAUGCGAACAACCAAAUUCGACUGAGUAACAAGAUUCAUCGGCAGCCCCAAGCACGCCCAGGGGGGUGUUACUACAAAACGCUUACCUUUUGGAAUAAAAUCAACACUUUAAUUUAAAGAAAUAAUGAUCCAAUUAACUUGUGAUCUUGGGGUUACCGUUUAAUUAGAUCAUAUUCUGGUGAGUGGACGGAAUUAUAAGGAAAUGACAGAAACUUGAUGAAACAAGUGAAGGAGAAAGGACUAAGGUGUUGUAAAGAAAAUGUGUUUUUGCGAAACAUCAGGUAGAAUACUUGGGAUUUCCCAGCGAUAGCCGAAGGAAAAAGGAGAUGCAUUAUUACAAAUGCCACCAUUAUACCACUUACACGUGGGGGUGUAUGUUGGAAAUGGAGAAAAACAGAACAAACAGCGUUUCAAGAAUCAAAACAAUUACUAAGUAUCGAUUUAGUGUUGGCCCAUUUCGAUCCCUAUUGAUAAGCAUGUGACGGUUCUAAUAAGGUCACAACAACCAUCAUAAAAUCACCUGUAUUUUCCCCACAUUCUCCAAGUUCGUUUGGUUGCAAACCAGAAUGAUCGGCAUGCAGCAUCUUCCCGUUGUUUUGGCUUGGUGCGGAACACCUUAGUCUCAUGUUUACUGAUGAACCGCUCUGGCGUAAUCGCUGCGGGCAAAGUAGGUAAGAUAGGAAACCGAAUAUUAAGUGGCUUGACUCACAGACUCACCAUUUUGAACCAAGGGAAAACCCAGGCCAGGUCGCAGUCGCAAUUGAUCGGGUUUUCCCAGAAGUUAAGCGUCAGGUCGUGAGUGAGAAUGUGUUCGAAAACGCCGGAGGGAAGUCGUGUUAUUCGGUUUUCUGAUAGAUCCAACCACUCAAGAUUAUAAAGACCUGUUGUGACGUUAAUAUCAAUUUGUACGAGAUUGUUGGAAAGAAUCAACGUCGUCAUUUCCGCAGCUUUUGUGAACGCGAAGUUAUGGAUGAUCGUUAUGUGGUUGUUGGAGAGAUCAAGGAACUCAAGAUCUGUUUGGGAGAAAGGAAAGAAGUUUCCCAUGGUAACUGCCAUUGAAGUAACCGUUCCACUGCUGAUAGCCGGUUACCAACAUCCCAGGUUCCAAGGAAAGUUCCCCCUCCACAUUAUGGCUGUAUACGACUCGGUGUAGAUCAACUGGAAAACCAGCAACGCCGUAUUCCGCAUCCAAUGAAAGCACUCUAUCCGCAGCAUUCAAGUUUAAAGUUUGCAUAUACUCGUAUGCAAGGGUUCCAACCUAUUUAGUCCAUGGUUUAGCUGAAGCUAUUACGGUAUAAUGUUGAAUAUACCUCUGAUGAUAAAGUACAAACGAUGAAGUCGCACAUCGAUAGAAUGUUGAUUUCGUUUGCAAUCUGAACCAAUCCAUACGGUGUAUCUCUCGUUUUUUCAUCACUUUCACGUUCUGUAAACUUGCGCUGACCAAUAAACUCGUAUUCUUUGUAA